rnacentral:rRNA from 1 species
UACGUAGGCAGCAAGCGUUGUUCGGAAUUACUGGGCGUAAAGAGUGUGUAGGCGGUGUUCCAAGUCUGUUGUGAAAUCUCCCGGCUUAACUGGGAGGGUGCGGCGGAAACUGGGAUGCUAGAGGAUGGGAGAGGUAAGCGGAAUUCCUGGUGUAGCGGUGAAAUGCGUAGAUAUCAGGAGGAACACCUGUGGUGUAGACAGCUUACUGGACCAUUUCUGACGCUGAGACACGAAAGCGUGGGGAGCGAACAGG